rnacentral:rRNA from 1 species
AUUGAACGCUGGCGGCAUGCCUUACACAUGCAAGUCGAACGGCAGCACGGGGCAACCUGGUGGCGAGUGGCGAACGGGUGAGUAAUGUAUCGGAACGUGCCAUUGAGUGGGGGAUAACGUAGCGAAAGUUACGCUAAUACCGCAUAUACCCUGAGGGGGAAAGCAGGGGAUCGCAAGACCUUGUGCUCUUUGAGCGGCCGAUAUCAGAUUAGCUAGUUGGUGAGGUAAAGGCUCACCAAGGCGACGAUCUGUAGCGGGUCUGAGAGGAUGAUCCGCCUCACUGGGACUGAGACACGGCCCAGACUCCUACGGGAGGCAGCAGUGGGGAAUUUUGGACAAUGGGCGCAAGCCUGACCCAGCCAUGCCGCGUGAGUGAAGAAGGCCUUCGGGUUGUAAAGCUCUUUCGGCCGGGAAGAAAUCGUACAGGUUAAUACCCUGUGUGGAUGACGGUACCGGAAUGAGAAGCACCGGCUAACUACGUGCCAGCCGCCGCGGUAAGAC